UGCCAUUAUUGUAAGUUUCCUGAGGCCUCCUAACCAUGCUUCCUGUACAGACUAUGGAACUAGGCUGUUCUGCAAAGCUGCCAUUCAUAGGGAGAACUGGCGAUGAAGUGUCUGUCAAAAGGACUGUUUUUACAAUUGGGACCUGCCUGUAGUGGUGAUGAGCCAUUUGUAAGAGAGGAUCAUGGAAUGAAUACGGGCAUUGAGUCAAGCAGUCUGUGUUCCACUGGCGGUGUGACCUGGGGCAGGCCAUUUCACCUCACUGAGCCUUAGUUUCCUCACCUGUAAAAUGUGAAAAAUAUCACCUUCCUUACCAGGCUUUUCUGAGGAUUUAAUGACAUCAUGUUCAGUGCCCAGUAUGGGUGGAUAAUACCCAGGAGUUUCCUCCUCUUCUCCUCCUAAGUUGACUUGAUGCCCCCCGCUGAAGAUCAUGGCUGAACUGGCUCAAUUCGGAUCCAGGACUCCUGGCUUUGUCUCUUCCCUAGUUGCCCACCACACCCAUGGACACCCUUAGGUAGUUUAUCCUUUUGGGACAACUGGAUUUAUUAGAAAAGGGUAUUCUGGGGUGGAAUAAGGCCCUUUUCAGUCCCCAUGGAGCCUUUUUGGAAGAUGAAGUUCUCAAACCCACAAGAGAAUUCAUAAGACGAGCACACCACCCACAGUUAGGUUUCCCUCUCAAGUGCUUUAUCUCCACGUGGGGCAAAUAGCUCUUUGUCUGCAUAUGUUAUUGGAGCUUUUGGAGUCCAGCCUUCAGAAGAGCUCUAAUUUUUGGAUUCAUAUCAGUUUAUUAGAGAAGCCUAGUUCUAAGGAUUAGCAAAUGGGUAGGUGCUCAGCCAGCCCAGAACAAGCAGAGCCAUGACAGAAGUUUCUGGAAUCUCACAGAGUCGGUGUCUUCAUGGACUCAGGGGGCCUAAAUCCAAUAGCCUGGAUUUGUCACUUUCCCUUAUUCCCUUAUCAAACUCUUCCCUUUUGGACAUCAGAGAAGGAAAGUACUUCCUGUAAGGGGGCAAUUUGCAAAGCUUCAUGGAAGUGGCAUUUGAGUGUGGCCUUAAAGGAUGUGUAGGAUUGGGAACCAUAGAUAUUUAGAGGAAGGCAUUCCUGGCAGAAGGAACAGCAGCAAAACACAGAAGUGGAAAUUAGUAGCAGCAUUAAUGGAGAAUAAUUUGGGGAAUAAGAUAUACAAAUGGAAUAAUAAAAAUAGCAUUAAUUAAA
rnacentral:lncRNA from 1 species